rnacentral:rRNA from 1 species
AUUGAACGCUGGCGGCAGGCCUAACACAUGCAAGUCGAGCGGAGCGGCGGAGGGGUGAGGAAUGGUUAGGAAUCUGCAUCGGAGUGGGGGAUAAGGUCCAGUAAUGGGCGCUAAUACCGCUACCUCUCAGAUGCGCAUAGGUCGGGUUGGCUAGUUGGUGGGGUAAGGGCCUACCUAGGCGACGAUCCGUAACUGGUCUGAGAGGAUGAUCAGUCACACUGGAACUGAGACACGGUCCAGACUCCUACGGGAGGCAGCAGUGGGGAAUAUUGGACAAUGGGCGAAAGCCUGAUCCAGCCAUGCCGCGUGUGUGAAGAAGGUCUUCGGAUUGUAAAGCACUUUAAGUUGGGAGGCGUUACCAGCAGAAUAAGCACCGGCUAACUUCGUGCCAGCAGCCGCGGUAAUAC